rnacentral:tRNA from 1 species
UCCCUGGCGGUCCAGUGGUUAGGACUUGGCGCUUGCACUGCCAGGGCCUGGGUUCAAUCCCUGGUCAGGGAA